AACUCAUUGAUUCUCUUCCUAUCAAAAAAAAAAAAAUUUAAUAAAUUCUCUUCCUUUCUAAUCUCUAUAUUUCUCUCGUCAUUCUCUUCUCUUCUCUGUGACAUUACUGAUGUCAAUCAAUCUCGAGUAGGAGGAGGAGACCAAGCUCUUCUUACUUGAUCCAUGAAUUGCUGACUUGAUCCAAGAAUUCCUGUUCAUCUUCACAGGGAUUGGUGGCGACGCAUACUCUAUGCUGGGGGUGGAGAAGUGCCAAAACAUCAGAACUAAAAUGUGAAAAAACAAUUUGUGAAAGAAUUAGAACAUGCAUUUUUAACCCGAAGAACAUGCUAGCCCACAGUUUAUGCGAAAAAACGAGUUUUUAACGAAACAAAUUAAAGUUGGAGAAAAUUUAGAAGUAGACUCUCACUAGGUUAGACAUUCAUAACUUAAGAGAUUUUUAUCGAAAAUUCACAUAUUUUUAAUUACAAAUGGUCAAUAUUUAAGCCGCCAUGACCCGUCUAGGGCCUCCUUAACCCGCCCAGGGUCACCUUGACCUGUCUAGGGCCGCCAGGGACGCCAAGGGGCCGCCUUCACCCGUCUAGGGCCACCAAGGGGCAUCCUUGACCCGCCUAGGCCCGCUUUGACUUGCCAAAGGUGACACGACCCACCCCGAAUUUCACCCUGAAACCCAGAGUAAGUCGUGCGGGGACCACCUCCAAGGAAAAUUUACUGAAAAGAUUAAGAAAAUCUCCCUUGUAGAUGGACAACCCUAACUCGAAAAUUUCAUAUUACACUUCUGAACAUCACAUAAUAUACAAAAAUUCUAAAGUAUUCAGAGCUACUAAACACAAGCGGAAGCAAGAAAACACGAGUAGGUUGAACAGGUAACCUACUGAUGAAAACUGGCCGAAAAGCGGGUGACUAUGCCUCGUCUCCUACUAGAUCCAACCCGAACUCUGCAGACUGGGCAAUUUAAAACGAAGGGCCCAGGGGAAAACAUUUAAUAACGUUAGAGUGAGUGGACAAAAAUAAAUUAAUAAAUAAAAUAUUUAUGUUUCCCCAAAUUAAUUUC
rnacentral:lncRNA from 1 species